rnacentral:SRP_RNA from 1 species
GCCGGGCGCGGUGGCGGGCGCCUGUAGUCCUAGCUACUCAGGAGGCUGAGGCAGGAGAAUGGCGUGAACCCAGGAGGCGGAGCUUGCAGUGGGCCGAGAUCGCGCCACUGAACUCCAGCCUGGGCAACAGCGUGAGACUCUGUCUCAA